CCUACGGGAGGCAGCAGUGAGGAAUAUUGGUCAAUGGCCGGAAGGCUGAACCAGCCAAGUCGCGUGAGGGACGACUGCCCUAUGGGUUGUAAACCUCUUUUAUAAGGGAAGAAUAAAUGCUACGUGUAGCAUGAUGCCUGUACCUUAUGAAUAAGCAUCGGCUAACUCCGUGCCAGCAGCCGCGGUCAUACGUAGGAUCCGAGCAUUAUCCGGAGUGACUGGGUGUAAAGAGUUGCGUAGGUGGCAUAAUAAGUAGCUAGUGAAAUCUGGUGGCUCAACCAUUCAGACUAUUAGCUAAACUGUUAAGCUCGAGACCGUUAGGGGUAACUGGAAUGUCUAGUGUAGGAGUGAAAUCCGUAGAUAUUAGAAAGAACACCAAUAGCGUAGGCAGGUUACUGGGACGGUUCUGACACUAAGGCACGAAAGCGUAGGGAGCAAACGGGAUUAGAUACCCCGGUAGUC
rnacentral:rRNA from 1 species